AGCCCAACCCUAGCUCCUAUCGCGGCCUGCAGUCUGGACCUCUGAGCAGCCUGUGGCCUUUUGUUCUGGGGGUGCCAGGCCUCCCGGGUUCCCGUAGACGGAGCUUUCUGCCCCUCCACCCUCAGCUUUCUGCAGUCACUGUUCAUGCUGGCCACCGUGGUGCUGUACUUCAGCCACCUCAAGGAGUAUGUGGCUUCCAUGGUGUUCUCCCUGGCCUUGGGCUGGACCAACAUGCUCUACUACACCCGCGGUUUCCAGCAGAUGGGCAUCUACGCCGUCAUGAUAGAGAAGAUGAUCCUGAGAGACCUGUGCCGUUUCAUGUUUGUCUAUGUCGUCUUCUUGUUCGGGUUUUCCACAGCGGUGGUGACACUGAUUGAAGACGGGAAGAACGACUCCCUGCCGUCUGAGUCCACGUCGCACAGGUGGCGGGGGCCUGCCUGCAGGCCCCCCGAUAGCUCCUACAACAGCCUGUACUCCACCUGCCUGGAGCUG
rnacentral:sRNA from 1 species